rnacentral:lncRNA from 1 species
CUAUGUUGCCCAGCUUUCAUUAUACAAUGUUUAAAAAUUCUAAAAUUUUUGCCAUGAAUUACUGUGAUAGUUAAGUCUAGGUGUCAACAUGACUGGAUUAAGGGAUACACAGAGAGCUGCUAAAGCACUAUGUCUAGGUAUGUCUGUGAGGGUGUUUUCGGAAGAGGUGUCAUACUGGUGUGACAUAUCAUGACAUAUUGUAAUACUGAUAUGACACCCGUAAGACCGAUAUGAUGCCCACAAUACUGACAUGACAGCCAUAGACUCAUAUAACACCUGCAAUACACAUGUGACACCCCAAUACAAAUGUGAUACCGCAAUACAGAUGUGACACCAACAAGACUACUGUGACACCAAUAAGACUGCUGUGACACCCAUAAGACUGAUGUGACACCCACAAUACUGAUGUGACGAUGUGAUGCCCACAAUACAGAUGACACCUGCAAGAGGGCUAUGAUGCCCAUAAGACUCAUGUGACGCCCGCAAUACAGAUAUGACACCCAUAAGACUCAUGUGACACCCACAAGAUUCAUAUGACACUCCUAAGACUCAUAUGACACCCAUAAUACUGAUAUGAUGCCCGUAAGACUGAUGUGAUGCCUGCAAUACUGAUGACACCUGUAAGACUGAUAUGACACCCCCAAUACUGAUAUGACACCCGCAAUACUGAUAUGACACCCGCAAUACAGAUAUGACACCCCCAAUACAGAUAUGACACCGACAAUACAGAUAUGACACCCACAAUACUGAUAUGACACCCGCAAUACAGAUGUGACACCCGCAAUACAGAUGUGACACCCGCAAUACAGAUGUGACACCCGCAAUACUGAUAUGACACCGCAAUACACAUAUGACACCCGCAAUACAGAUAUGACACCCGCAAUACAGAUAUGACACCCGCAAUACUGAUAUGACACCCGCAAUACAGAUAUGACACCCACAAUACAGAUAUGACACCCGCAAUACAGAUAUGACACCCUCAAUACUGCUAUGACCCCCGCAAUACAGAUAUGACCCCCGCAAUACUGCUAUGACACCCGCAAUACUGAUAUGACACCCGCAAUACAGAUAUGACACCCACAAUACUGAUAUGACACCCGCAAUACAGAUAUGACAUGCACAAUACUGAUAUGACAUCUACAAUACAGAUAUGACACCCACAAUACUCAUAUGACACCCGCAAUACUGAUAUGACAUCUACAAUAUAGAUAUGACACCCACAAUACUGAUAUGACACCCGCAAUACAGAUAUGACAUCUACAAUACUGAUAUGACACCUGCAAUACUGACAUGACACCCGCAAUACAGAUAUGACAUCUACAAUACUGAUAUGACACCUGCAAUACUGACAUGACACCCGCAAUACAGAUAUGACAUCUACAGUACUGAUAUGACAUCUGCAAUACUGAUAUGACACCCACAAUACAGAUAUGACAUGCACAAUACUGAUAUGACACCUGCAAUACAGAUAUGACACCCGCAAUACUGAUAUGACACCCGCAAUACAGAUAUGACACCCGCAAUACAGAUAUGACACCCGCAAUACUGAUAUGACACCCGCAAUACUUCUAUGACACUUGCAAGACUGCUGUGACGUCCCUAAGACUCAUAUGACACCCGUAAUACUGACACCCCCAAGACUGACAUGACACUUGCAAUACUAGUAUGUCAGCCGAUACAGCAUCCAGACUCUCACCAGGGUGCUUGGUACACAGCUUCCAAUGACCUUGAUUUGGGUCGGGCUUGGCUUCUGUAAUGAAGUUUGAUGUUGUCUCUGCUUUACGGACAUGGUAUUGAUGUGGUUGUUUAUAAUUUACUUUCCAGUCAUUUCAGUUUAGGGAGGGUCAGAAUCCUGUAGCCUCCAGCUACAUGACUCCUAAAGCACAAUUUCUAAUCUUGUGGCUAAUGUUAGUCCUAGAAAGGCAAUCUAGUUCCCAGGCAAGAAAGAGGUCUGCUUUGGGAAAGGGCUGUUACCGUCUUUGUUUAAACUAUAAGUUAAGUUUCUCCCAACAUUAGUUCAGCCUACACCCAGGAAUGAACAAGGAGGUUACAAGCAAGGCGGAGUCAGGUUAGAUCUCUUUCACUGUCUCAGUCAUAAUUUUGCAAAGGCAGUUUCAAUCCCUCCCUUUGAGUUUUAUAACACCUUAAUCUUAAGGUGCAGGCUAUGAAGAUGGGAAAAGGCCGUUGAUCACUCUGGCUUCUUCCUGCUGACAGCGGACAUAGUGGGAAUGGGAGUGAACCCCAAGGUGAGAGAGUGGAACCACUUUGCAACUGUCUGAGCGUACUCAUGCAGCCCUGGCUUUUCAGUAGGCCUACACAGAAAAUGUGAGACUGAAAACCCCUGCAUCCUUGAGCUCAUGGACGAUGUGCUCUAUGAGGCAGUAGAGGAGCUCCGCCUGGUACUCGACACUCCACAAAGCAACUCUCCCUUUGGGGCUGCAGUUGGUGAACAAAAAGAAACUCUCAAGGAUCCAAGAUGAUGCUGAUAAGACUUAUUAAAUUUGGAGAAACCAAAUUUAACGUCACUGAACCCAAAGAACCCGGAGAGUCAGUGGUUAUAAGAAUUCCAGUGAUUC